rnacentral:rRNA from 1 species
GACGAACGCUGGCGGCGUGCUUAACACAUGCAAGUCGAACGAAGUGGCGAACGGGUGAGUAACGCGUAAUCAACCUGCCCUUCAGAGGGGGACAACAGUUGGAAACGACUGCUAAUACCGCAUACUGAAGGAGGGGAUUGCGUCUGAUUAGCUAGUUGGAGGGGUCACGGCCCACCAAGUCGAUGUUCAGUAGCCGGGCUGAGAAGAUGAACGUGCAAAUAGGGACUGAGGCACGGCCCAGACUCCUUCGGGAGGCAACAGUGGGGAAACUUCCGCAAUGGGCGAAAGUCUUGCGGAGCAAAGCCGCGGGAGUGAUGACGGCCUUCGGGUUGGAAAACUCUGUUAGUCAGGACGCGUUACCGGAAUAAUAAGCCACGGCUAACUACGUGCCAGCAGCCGCGGUAAUUC